GACGAACGCUGGCGGCGUGCUUAACACAUGCAAGUCGAACGGAAAGGCCCUGCUUUUGUGGGGUGCUCGAGUGGCGAACGGGUGAGUAACACGGGAGUAACCUGCCCUUGACUUUGGGAUAACUUCAGGAAACUGGGGCUAAUACCGGAUAGGAGCUCCUGCUGCAUGGUGGGGGUUGGAAAGUUUCGGCGGUUUGGGAUGGACGCGCGGCUUAUCAGCUUGUUGGUGGGGUAGUGGCUUACCCAGGCUUUGACGGGUAGCCGGCCUGGGAGGGUGACCGGCCACAUUGGGCCUGAGGUACGGCCCAGACUCAUUCGUGAGGCAGCAGUGGGGACUAUUGCCCAAUGGGCCGAGGGCGGAUGCAGGAACGUCGCGUGCGGGAUGACGGCAUUCGGGUUGUAAGCCGAUUUCGCCUGUGACGAAGCGUGAGUGACUGUACUGCGUAAAGAAGCACCGGCUACCUACGU
rnacentral:rRNA from 1 species